rnacentral:rRNA from 1 species
GGAUCAGUAGCCGGACUGAGAGGUUGACCGGCCACAUUGGGACUGAGAUACGGCCCAGACUCCUACGGGAGGCAGCAGUGGGGAAUAUUGGGCAAUGGGCGCAAGCCUGACCCAGCAACGCCGCGUGAAGGAAGAAGGCUUUCGGGUUGUAAACUUCUUUUGUCGGGGACGAGUAGAAGACGGUACCUGGCGAAU